GAUGAACGCUGGCGGCGUGCCUAAUACAUGCAAGUCGAGCGAACAGACGAGGAGCUUGCUCCUCUGACGUUAGCGGCGGACGGGUGAGUAACACGUGGAUAACCUACCUAUAAGACUGGGAUAACUUCGGGAAACCGGAGCUAAUACCGGAUAAUAUAUUGAACCGCAUGGUUCAAUAGUGAAAGACGGUUUUGCUGUCACUUAUAGAUGGAUCCGCGCCGCAUUAGCUAGUUGGUAAGGUAACGGCUUACCAAGGCAACGAUGCGUAGCCGACCUGAGAGAGUGAUCGGUCACACUGGAACUGAGAGACGGUCCAGACUCCUACGGGAGGCAGCAGUAGGGAAUCUUCCGCAAUGGGCGAAAGCCUGACGGAGCAACGCCGCGUGAGUGAUGAAGGUCUUCGGAUCGUAAAACUCUGUUAUUAGGGAAGAACAAAUGUGUAAGUAACUAUGCACGUCUUGACGGUACCUAAUCAGAAAGCCACGGCUAACUACGUG
rnacentral:rRNA from 1 species